UCUGGAUUGUUUAAAAAAAUAACACAAGGAGACUAACUUCCAGGAUUUUUGAAGUGCAAUUGUUGCACCCAAGAGAAUAUUUCUAAGAGAUUGUUGCAUCGUUGUAGCUUUAAAUGUUUUAUUGGGCGGUGGGGAGAUUUAUUGCCUAUAUGAGACUAAUUUGCUAUAUAGUCAGAUGGGUGCUCUGCUAAUUAUCUUUCUUCCGCUAUAAACACAUUGUACUUGGUGAAUCUGACAUACAGUAAUUAGGCACUGGGUUUUGUCCUUACAAAACUUCUUUUUAGGUCAAGGUAGAACUGAGCUGAAUGGAAAUCUUGCUGUUCUGAUUCAUUGUAAAUGUGAUGAUGUAGCAACAACAACACGCAAACGAAAUGUUUCUGUUAACAACGCCAUUCCUGCCAAACCUACCAGCCAUGGGAGGCAACGUUCAGCUGUAAUGCUGCCUCAUGUACCUGAUAUGAAUGCUGACACGUUUCAGCGUCCGGCAGAGGCAGGCAGGCACCAGCAGAUACAUUGGAUGAUUUAAGGCUUUUCAAAGUGUCUGAAUUAUUCAGAGUUGGGUUGGGGUUUAUGCUGCUGCUGUCUCUUUUGUUUUGUCCUCUCCUGAUAUGGACUGUUUUCCUAGUAAAAUAAAUACAGUGGGGAGAAUUGCAGACUUUUGAGUGUGUGUGUGUUUCUUUUAAACAGCUUGUGAGUUGAUUUUAAAGUUAAGAGAGUGAGUAAGAGAGAUCAGGUCAGAUUUUAAUACAGCAAAGUAACUCCAUUGAAUCCAGUAGUUACUCGAAAUGUACAUGCAGUUACUCAGGAUGCAACAAAUCAAAAUCACGUCCAUUGUUCAGUGCAAGCUUCCUUCUGCGGCUCCGCCUGCGUAACUUGUCUAAUGGAAAGAGGCCUGUCUGUCUUGUAUGGAAUGUCUUUGGAGCAGUGUCUGCCUGUCAGAGUGGUUUUGUGAGGUGCACCAUCUUCAAAGCCUUCACAAAUAUUACCUAAUUAAUCUCUUAGAUCCCUCAUAUGUUUGGUAUUGUAGUUUCCUUGCACAUCUUUACCCAGAGGGGAAUGCUCUGAAGGAGUGUUUUGGGGUUGAGAAAGCCAUGUCAGUGUGACAGUUGUAGCACACCAUGGUCAGCAGGACCAAACGUCUAAGAUCAUGUCUAUUCAAAUGCUAAAAUUUCUUCUGAGAAGCACAGAUCUAAGCAGGGCUUUGGAGCUGUGCUCCGGCUCCGCUCCGGCUCCAGGCAAAAACCUGCAGCUCCACUGCUCCGGAGCUGCUCCGGGCUCCGCUCCAAAGCCCUGGGUCUAAGAGCCAAGAGGUUUAUUUGUUUAGGAUGAAAUGCAUUCCACCACGGAGAGUCCUGGCAAGGUUCUCUGUACCAGUUAACCCUCUCUUUAACCUCUUAAUGUGGGGCUUACUUGGUGCCUGGGCUUGCCGUGUGAACUUUGCUCUUCACUGUUGUUUCCUAACACAUUGAACAAGUGUGUGGUUAGUCCGAGUACUGUGUACUCAACUGUGAUGCAUGCCACAGGGCCAGGUGCUUCAAACGGCUCUGAAGAGCCACUUUUUUCAGAGCCACUAAAUUCAUUGCUGUGACUUUGUUCCACAUAUAGUUUUCACUACUCCCUGCCAGUAUUAUGGCACUUGCA
ensembl:lncRNA